GUGCGCGAGGGAGCACUCUCCCCUGUGUGCUCCCUCUUCAACUCCCUCGUGCGCCGCAUAGGGAUGCCGGCACCGGAAGAUGACGUCAUCUUCCGGCUCCGGUAUCAGUGCGGUGCGCGAGGGAGCUGAAGAGGGAGCACACAGAGGUGAGUGCUCCCUCAUGCAC